GUGCUCAUAGCUCAGUAGGAUAGAGCAGUCGCCUCCUAAGCGACAGACAGGAGUUCGAAUCUCUUUGGGCACACCA
rnacentral:tRNA from 1 species